AUUUUGCAGAUUAUUGUGGGUGGUUCUAAAAGAUAUAUUCCACGAUAAACUAGAAAUCACUGUAUAUUAAAUUCAAACAGGAUGUUGUGGAGUAUGUGUGUUUAUGUGUCAAGUAGCUGAGGAAACUAUCAUUGUUAAGUGGAUAAAAGGAAUAGGGAACGAGAUAGAACCAUGUUAGAUUAAUGCAUUUGAAAGUAGUAGUUAAGAAGUUAUAUUUGGAGGUGUCUCUGGAGUAGACUUUUCACCUUCAAAGUUGUAAUAGGGACUCGAUGGCCUCUGGCAUUGGUGACUUCCCAGUGAAUCAAUGAUGCAUUCUGGCUGGCUGUACAUCCUUGGGGUGAGACUCUGUGAGUUAUUGAUCGCUUCAGGCAAAUAGUGACUCCCUGGUGAGAGACCCAUUGAGAUGCCGACUACCUC